GCACUGACAGCCCCCUCUCCCUCUCAGCAUUUCCUCUCUCUCCUCUCUCUCUGCCUCGUUCUCUCUUUCUCUCCCUCCCUCUCUCUCUCUCUCUUUUUGUCUCUCUUUAUGUCUAUGGCAUUGUGUCUGAAUAAUUUUCAGGCCUUUUUUUUUCCUUCCUUCUCAUAUGCACACGCUAAAAGAACUAGACAAAGAUACAAGGUGUUUGCUGCAGUCCACAUCUCUAGGAGAAAAAAAAAAAAAAGCUCAUGAUUACAGUGCCACUUUUUUUUUUUUUCUUUUUCUUUUUUUUUUUUUUUUUUUUCCACCUAUGCUCAGUGAUUAAACUUCCCCAGGAUGGGGAAGAAAUAAGAGGUGGAAUUGAAAUAGGGAUGAGGAAAAUACCAUUGCAGCAGCUGCAGUCAGUGGUGUCUGCUGCCAGAUGUGUGAAGGUUCCCGGGGUCCUGGACACUAAAAGGAUGCAUAAAAAUAUUUGGAGACAAAAGCUGCAUCCUCAGUGAUCAUUUUCUGUAUUUAACAUGGCAGCAGGCACCGUGUGGAGAAAUCAACAAGCUGGAUGUUGAACUGGACUUUCCUCCUUUCUAGGAUGAAAGGAUGUGAUCUAUCCCGUGCCAAAAGGGAGCUGAGGGGGAGGGGAAGAAAGUCUCCAAAACUAACCCGUCGCGAGCAAUGAACAUAUGGCUGUUAAUAUCAGCACUGGUGUAUUUGCAGCGAUGCCUAUCAACAUCCACCAGAGAGCAGGGCAGCUCCAAAACCCACAUCUUUCAUGCUGUGGAAAUUGAUGGAGACAGCAACACAGCCAGCUUCUUGGCCAAACAACAUGGAAUGCAGUUCAUUUCAAAGCUGCAAAAAGGAAGCAUUUGGCAGGAGAAGGGAGAUUGUUUCAAAACAGUUGGAUGAAAUGCUCCUAUGGUGCUGGAGUUUCACUCUGCCAUGAUCAAUGAAUAAUUAUUGCUUUCUGAUGUCAGUGGGAUCUGAUGAGAGUAAGGAAGAGACGAUGGCAUCAACAAUGUGCCCCUGUGUCUGAAAGACAUAAUUACUGGGUGGAGGAACAGGCUGCUCAUCUCCUCCUGGGCAGGAUGAGAAUGGUGCCGGUAAGGAAUGAAAAUACUUCCAGGAACUGAAGGAAUGAUUAGAGCAUAUCUAAAGAGGAUAUUUGCCCAUGACUGUUAAAGUGCUGAAUUGACUUUCUUGAUCCUAGAUAAAUAAACAGAGAGGAGGCUUUCUGCUACUGUAGGCUGUGCUGGAGGCUUCACCUUUUCCUGUCAGAUGUGGACUUUGCUACAGCAUUUCAAGAUGUCCCAGUUGCACUGAUCGUGUAUUCCCUUCCCAGGAUCUCCUCUGCUUUCACCAACACUGCAUGAGGAGGACCAAGGCAAGAACUGCAAAACACCUCUCUGUCCACCUUACACAAUCCGUGAUCAAAGAAUCUUGCCACUGCUGUAUCCUUGGAAUAUCUUUUGAAGAAAGAUGAGAUAAGCAAUGAGAGUCUGGAAGGCAGUGAGGACUGCCCACUGCACUGCAUCCAAAGCAGUGAACCCUGAGAAAGAAGGUCUUGGAAGAAGGCCUAAGAAGUGUGUACUCAAUAUUCUAUAUACUGAGAGAAUAUAAGCAAGUAUGCAAAACUAACUCUCCUUCACGAGAAAUUGAAGAGUGGACCGUGGGUAGUAGGAAAGCAGUGCUCUUUCUGGAUUUCCUGGAAUACAGACAGACCAUCAACUCUGAUUGCUACAUUACAACACUGGCUAAGGUGAAGGCUGAACUUGCAGAUUCAGGCCAGAGAAGAGGACAGCCUUUCUCUUGCAACACAGUAAUGCUGGGUCCCAUACCAGUCUGAAGACCAUAGAGCACACUGUCAAUCUUGUCUGGACUGUCCUGCUGCACCCACAGUUUAGACCAGAUUUGGUUUUUUUGAACUUCUAUCUUUUCAGGCUGAUUCAUGGGCAACAUUUUCCUAGUAGUGACGCUGUCAUAGCAGCUGUGAAACUGUGGGUCAUCUGCACUGCUGCAGAUUUUUACAAGCACAGUAUGCAGGCUCUUGUUCAUGGCUGGUGAAAAUGGAUGACAAAUGGUGGAGACUAUGUUGAAAAAUAGUGUUUAGUGGGUGAGGAUUUGCUCUAUCAAAUAGUGUUAUUGUGUUCUUUGUUGUAGUUUCCAUGGAAAUAGGAGGCAUUAGAUUCAGAGCAACUUGCGUACAUGCAAAAAGAUGAAACAUUUGGAGAAGCCACCUGCUGUUGUGCAGGUACAUCAGUAGUGAGGCAAAAAUUGGUGCACAGGUAGGACAAAGAAAUAGCAGACCAGGCUAGAGAGGUUUUAAAUGUUUCUUAGGUAUGUUACCUAUAAGGUAACCUUGAAACUUUUCAGUCUGAAAAAUAGCUGCUGAAAAAGAGAGCAGAACAUGGCCAGUCACAUGUGUGACACAAUCAAUCAUUUGAGAGUAGUAAAAUGAAGGUCUGCAUUUAAAAAAAAAUAUAUAUAUAUAUAUAUAUAUUUAAAUCUCUUAAGUACUUGACGAGAUCCUCUGAUAAAUACAGCUGCCUUGGUUUUGUUCUCUGGUUUACAGCUCUCCUGAUGCUAGUGUAAUGAGACAAGUGAGUCAUUUCUACUGCACCUAUUAUCCAUAUAGCAUGUGUUUAUGGCCACACAGUGAAGAGCUUAUACAAUCUCAGAAACUGAGCUUAUGUUAGUGCAGUGGGUUUACAGCUGAAAUGAGGGAGGAUGAGUUCACUGCCAACAGCUCUGCUUUUGGGCAUGUUUCUUCCAACGAAAGGGCAGGUUGAUUUCACAGCCUUGUGAAGCCAAUGUUAGCAGUUCAAAUGUAUCUUAGCAGUGGAGAAAUGAUGCAGAAAAGAAUGAUGUGUUCCCCAAGAUUUCCAGUGAAUCAUUCAUCUUAGAUACACCUAUUUAAAAAAAUAAAUAUAUGUAAAGCUAAACAGUCAAUCUGCAAAUUUUUUAGGAAUAAUCAGGCUCAAAUACUUCUGUGGCAGGUACUGUGAACAGACACAGAUACUUCUGUGGACAUUUUGUGGCAGGUACUUGAAGCCAUGGGAAGAAUGAUUUGCUUCUGCACUGAUGUACUGCGAUGGGAAUCAUUCUGUGAAUCUCAUCUUUCCCUUGCUCCUCUCUCUUUAAGAUUUCUUAUUUUAUAUUUUCUUGCAAUCUUUCUUCAAUAUCUCUUCACCUCUCACAAACAGCUUUUUUCUUCGCUUUCAUCUGAAAUCCUAUUCUUUUUUCACUAUCCUGUUUUCAGCCUUUCUGAUGUUCUUCUAUUUCUUCUGAACCUCUUCCAUCUUUCCUGCAGAAGCUCCCUACUGCAAGUCCUUCACAACCUUCAUUCCCCUUCCUGCACUGUCUCAGUUCUGGCUGAAAUUGGUGUUGUUGCUAAAGCACCCGUAGGUUUUUUUGGCAACAGAAGUUACCGUAGUGUACCUGUCUCUGUUUCUAAGAUCAAAUAAUUGCAUUUCAACUUUCUGAUUGCUUGAGAUUGUAGAAUGUCUGGUGGUCUACUAAACAAUGCUCAAACUACAGGGAAAAUAAAUAGUAUUAAUGUGAGUUAAAAAAUCAUUGUUCUCAGUCGGCAAUUAGUAUUUCACUAAUAUCCGAAUAAACACAAUUUUCUGAAUUACAUAAACCCAGUUAGAAAUCAUGUUUUCUUGUAUGUAGAGGUCUGAUGGAGGGUAUAUAAAUAUACUGAAUUUGAGGAUCAGUAUGUCAAGCAAGUCUCAGUUUAUAUAGAUCUGUAAAAUGUAAGUUAAAAAUAAUUCAAUAUUUUUUCUAAGUGCUUCUCACACUGUUAUACAACUUGGUGCUACAUAAAAUAGCCAAAAAAGGGAUUAACGCAUUGGAUUCAUUUUCAUAGACAUCGUUCUAACAUUUCCUGAAUUUUAAGAUCGUGUUUCAAAAGGUGGGUUAACUAUUAGUGCAUUAAGCCCCUCAGUUGUUGCUCCUAAGAAUAUGUGAAAGGCAGCUGAAAUAGAGCAUGUUGUUUUUAUCUGGUUCCUACAGUCUGCAGUCCUUCAUCCUCAAACGUUACAGAGGCACCAUAUGCUGUUAAUCACCACUGUUGUAUUUAGUACUCAAUCAACUGAAAUUUGUUGUUUUCAGAUAUUAUAUGCCAGUACGAAACCCAUUAUGUGUGCUGCAUUUCACUGUGAGAGGAACAGUUAAUCCUGGUUUGCUGUCUAUCAUUGUUUCUGAUACAUUUAUAAAGAGAAGUCUUCCUAUGGGAUCUAUAAAUCACGCAUUACCUUUUAGCUAUGCCAUGGUUUAAUGUUAACG
rnacentral:lncRNA from 1 species